AUGCCCCCAGCUGAAGUUGAAGGUGGUGGUGUCUUAUGUCCUCAUCACGGGAGGAAUGCUUUAUGACGUUAUUGUUAAACUUCAAAGUAUUGGCUCUAUGACCGAUGAACAUGGACAUCAGAGGCCAGUAGCUUUCUUGGCCCACAGAGUAAAUGGACAAUAUAUUAUGGAAGGACUCACAUCUAACUUCCUAUUUACAGCAGGAGGUUUAGGAUUCAUAAUCCUGGACCGAUCAAAUGCACCAGACAUUCCAAACCUCAGUAAGAUUUCUCCUUCUAUUCAUUGGAUUCGUCUGUGUCCUGUUGAGUGUUUUCAUGGCUAGGGUAUUCAUGAGAAUGAAACUGCCAGGCUAUCUGAUGGAUUCAAAUGCCUUUUGAGAAGAGAUCAGUGGAUAUUGGAUUUGCUCCUGUUAAUGAAGUUUUAAAGGCUGUACCAAUCCUGUGAUGUGAACUAUGGAAAAGAAUGAAAAGCGGCAGAAAAGAAGCAUCUAGUGAAAACAUAGGAAGCAUGUUAAAGCUUGAACUAGAAUGUCUUCUUGGUCUCAAAGAGACAAACUUAUCACAGUAUUUUCUCCCUCUGGCCUUUACUGACCUACCACUGAUGUUAAGUGGCAUUUUCUUCUUAGUUUUUCAUUUCUUAGAGAAAAUAUACUCCAUUUCCACAACUAUAAUAUUGAAUAAAGUGAUUACUUUUUACAGCUCCCUUAAUGUGUUUUGGAAAUGACAUUUCUGACUUUCAAAAAUUAAUGUAAAAUCACGAAGCAAGAUCCCAUGGGCUGAGAGAACUCUGCAGAGAUGAUCAGCUUUACUUAUGAUGCUUUGCCUUUAAACAGUACAUUAUUUCAGAUAUGUAUGCCAGACUGUUUCAUGCACAAUAAGAUGUAUGAAAGAAGCAGAAAUAAAUAAUGUUUCUAAUUAAAAAAAAAAAAGGCCUGUCCCUUUCAGUGUCUUGAAACUGACCCAAGCCCCUGGCUUCAAAUAGACUUUAAAAGGUGGUUGGAAAGAGUCCAAUAUAUCAUUGCUUAAAACUUCCCACAUAAAGGCAAAACCAAGGUCUUCACUUUUAAAAAUAGUGACCUGAAUCCAUAAAGGGCAAAAGAUCCACUUUGAGAUCAUUUUUCACCUUGGUUGGCUAUGGAGCGUCUGUGUGUACAUUCUCGCUAACAAGCUGAUUUGCCUUGUGUUACAAAUUGCUCGAUCCAGCAGGGCCUGUAGAGAACAGUGCACACACACGUGCUCAUUGGUUGGCAUAUCUGGAAGAACUUCGUGACGCUGGGCUUUUAAAUUCAGAGAAAUGCGUUGUUGCAUUCACAGGCAGCAAUUUUGGGACUGGGAGAGAAGUGAGUGGGUCUUCUGGAUCCCUCCACCUGAAGUGUGAGAAGCCUGCUUGCUGGCACUGGAAAGUCAUCAUCUACACUGAUGAUUCACUCUUCCUUUGAGACACUGGAUAUCCCAGUUUGACAGUUCGUCCUCACUCAGUGAUCACAAUGAUCACAACAUGUACCAGAGAGGGUCGCCCCUUCCCUCUCUCCGCCACCCUCACACAUGACCUUGUCAUACAGCCUGGAAAAAAGGAGUGCCCUCUACAAACACCUCUUCUGUUUUAUGAUCCAUACACUGUGAGAACCAGCUUUUAAGAAAUCUGAUAAUAAAAAUACAACCAUGCCCUGCUCCAGUGGGACCCAGGCUACUUUGUCCAUCGACAGCAUAGGAUUUGGUGACUCCACCCAGCAGUCAGUGCUUCUAUCAGAAAAGCAACUUUGGAGAUUUCUCUCAAUGACAUGAAAAGUAGCCUUGCAGAGGAUCAAAAAAGGGAAGGACAGGGACAUAGAUUUAGUAAAUCCUGAGUUGCAGGGAUUUCAACCGUCAAAGGCCAAGUCAACUUUUUUGCAUAGUAACUGUAGGCCUGGAGCUGUAAGGACGGAGACUUUCUCAGGACAUAGGCCUCCUGGCCCUAGCUAACUGGGGCAGCUGUCUGCUGGUCUUUUCCUCUUUAACCCAUGGGAAGUGAGGCAGUCUGCCUGUGCUGACUGGUCUCCCAGCUGCCCAGGCAGAGGCGUCACGGGAGAGCAAAAGCAAGUGAAAAGACUGUCACUCAGCCACAGUAGCUGCUGGAACACAGGCUUGCAGCCUUGCCUGCAUUCCCCCUCCCCCCCCCCCCCCCCCCCCCCCCCCCCCCCUCCCNCCCCCAGCAGCCGCAGGCCAGCGCUUUCCUUCCUCUUGCCUCUGAUUUGCAAAUUUACAAGUCAGGAACAUUCCUGGGGUGGGGGUGGGAUGGUUAUGAACUCCCUAGCCCAAGGAGAGAGAGCAGGAGCAAAGUUUCCAGGUCAUUUAUAGCAGUUCCUUGACGUCGAGGAAAGGGAAGGAAAGGAUUUUGACAAAUACCUUGAACUAAAAAUGGGGAAAUUAAAAAAAAGGGGGGGCUUAUAAAGGUUAGGAUACUUCUUUGCUUCCUUGUUUCACAUGAGCAGCCACUGAGAAGUCAGCUGGCUUCCAGUGUCUUCUAUAAUUGAGGACUGGAGUGACAUGGAUAAAUGAACGUCACAGAUAAUCCGCAAAGCUCAUUCUUAUCCAUUAGCUUCAGCCUCUUCCCUCUCUGGGUCUUCUAUCCCAGCUCCUGAUAAGAAGAAAAGCAAGUAAGGCUUGUCCUCUGAUGAGGGUGUGAAGGCACAGGAAGGAAGCCAAGGUUCAGAAGGACUCUCGGGGGACUGGACAAAAGGCCUGUGGGUGUGCUGGGUUUCUUCACACGGAGGGGAACGACUCCCAGCUGGCGAACUGGGCGGGACAAUCUAAUCCAGUCCAGUUCCUUUACAGAAGGGCUAGCUGAGGCUCCAUUGUAGAGGAGGUGGAACUUUCCUUCUAGCCUCUCAGGGUCAGGCUGGGUCCGAGAAUUAAGUUGACAUUAAGACAUUAAUGAGAGAAGAGCAUACAGAUUUUAUUAUUACAUGCUCAUGGGAGCCUUCAUGGGAAAAUGAAGACCCAAAAAGUGGUUGGGCCCAAGUGCUUAUGUGCCACAUUGGACAAAGAGUAUUAAUUGUGAGAGAGUGCCAAAAAUAUAUGGGGAUGCUAAAGGAAGCUAAGAGUUACUUGAACAAGGUUUGUUUGCACUGAUUCUCUUGGUGCCUUCUCCCUAUCUCUGGUGAGAAGAAUGUUUCUUUCCUCCUGAUAUAGAGAAGGCAGCUCUCACAUCAGAGUUUCAUCUCUUGCUUUUAGGGAGAAAAAGGGAGAUCAGAGGGCCCUUUUUGCAUCUGCUGUUUUCAAGUGCUUUAUUUAUUUAUUUAUUUAUUUAUUUAAAAUAAGCUCUACCCAGAAGGUGAGGCUUGAAUACAUGACUUGGAGAUCAAGAGUCACAUGCUCAGGGCACCUGGCUGGCUCAGUCGGUAGAUCAUGUGACUCUAGGUAACACACCAAGUUAGGUCAUGAGUUACAAUUUGAAAUCUUGCCAUUUGUGACAAUAUGGAUGCAACUUGAGAACAUUAUGCUAAUUGAAAUGUGAGACAGAGAAACACAAACACCAUAUGAUCUCUCUUACAUGUACAAUCUAAGAAAAAAAACCCAAUGAACUCAUAGAUAACAGAGAACAGAUUGGUGGGGCAUGGGGGUUGACAAAAUGGUGAAGGUAGUCAAAUGAUAUAUACUUCUAGUUAUAAAAUAAAUAUCAUGGGGAUGUACAGUAUGGUGACUAUAACUAAGAAUAUUGUAUAUCAUAUUUGAAAAGUUGCUAAGAAAGUAGAUCUUAAAAGUUCUCAUAAGAAAAAAAUUUCUAACUACAAAUGGUGAAAGAUGUUAACAAGACUUAUUACUGUGGUGAUCCUUUUGGAGUAUACACAGACUUAGCCAGCCGGGUGCCCCCCUCCUUUUUUUUGCAAUAUAUACAAAUAUCAAAUCAUUAUGUUGUACACUUGAAAUGAAUAUUGUGUUGUAUGUCAAUUAUACCUCAAUUAAAAAAAGGGAGGAGAAUUCAAACUGAAAUCUUGAACUCCAGUCCAGUGCUAUUUCUACUACACCACCAAGCCAAAGCUUUUUACAGUACUUUCUUUCAUUAAAUUGUUUUUCAUGGAUUAAGUUCACUUUUGUUGUUUCAUUAUAUUUUGAAAAUAAAUGAAACACAUGCAUGUUUUUUUUGUUUUGUUUUUUUACCAAGAACAUUCUUUUCAGCCUCAGUCUGUGUUCUCUCACUCAGACUCAAUUAUUUCCCCCUCACUUUUGACCUCCCAGAUUCCAAAAAGGAUGGGCACAACUUGAGAGGUGUUUCAAAUCCCAAAUCAGGCACGUUCCUAUCUCUGUUGCUGUUGGUGACCAUUAGGGCUUGGUGGAACCUUAGCCAGAGUCUGGUUUCAUCCUCUCUCUUUGUAGAGGAGAAAACUGGAUCCAGAAAGACUGGUUUUCUCAAGGCCACACAGCCGGCUAGUAGAACACUUGAGUUGACUCUGCCAUAUCAGGCUAGCUCCAUGUAGCUGCCAUGACAUACAUGGAUCUCUUCCCCUUGUCUCCCCUCACCGGGAUGCAUGGGUGGAUGCUUCUGAAAUAGGCCUUGUAGGACACGGGAGAUCAAGGGCAGGACCAACCUCUCUAAGGCCACCUUGGAUAGUCUAGGGAAACACCACCCCCUUAGAUGCUACUAAGAGCUGCAGGGAAUGUUAAUAUGGAAGACUCUAGAGUGAUCUAACCUUCAUCUAGCCACUCUGUCAACAAAAUCAUCCCAAUCCUCAUUCAUUGGCACUAUUGCAGAUAUAUAUGUGGCACUCAGGUUCAGAGGAGUGAGGUUCUGGAUUUCUUUUGACCACCUGGGGAAUGUCCUCCUUUUGUGAGAAGAUUUCAAACAGUUUUUCCAAAUGUAGCCUUUUCUAUUAAUGGACAAGCAAUUAAGUUUAGUACAUUUAAGGGGUCAAAGAUUCACAGAAAUACUUCUAAUUGAGGUCAUUUUAGGUCUUGGGAUACAGUCACACUCUAUCAAUACUCCAUACAAGGUCUCAGCAAUGUGUGGCUGCAAUAUGAAGCAGAUAGAAAACACACAGUCAUAUUCAAAGGGUCCAAUGGCUGGAAUCCCACUCAACUGCAGGAAGGCUCAGAAGUCUGUAUCUGAUGGCAGGGGCACAGGUGCUUCAAGGCCAAAGGGCAGCACGAGGGAAAAGUUGGGGGGCAGGACUAGAGGGAGAGAUGAGCCCAUCGCCCGUGCCCCUGGUCAUCACUACUGGGGCCUGGUGGGGUCAGGGAAGGAAGAUGUCCUUCAUGUUCUUUUGGGUGACAGGUAGGAAUAAAGGUUCCCAUUUGUCAGCUGGAAGCAAUACAAAUGACAGUGUUGGUGAGUGAGAAGUGGGGAACGACACCACUGAGGGUUAAGCAUUCCAAAAAAAAAAAAAAUAGUCAAUUUUCCCUCUGGCAUAAGGCUGAUGGGAAACAGGAGGCCUGGUCUUAGGGGUGUUGUUAGUCCAGUGCUCGAAUCAAAUGGGAAUCACGUGCUUAUCAUGGAGCUUCAGGUACCCCUGAGAGAACAUCCUCUGCACAACAUUUAAGUACCUGGUCAAGAACACCAAUGAAUUAAUAAUCAUUUAUUGUAAAUCACUCAUAGUGUACACAUUAUUAAUGGCAAAUAAACACCUGCUGGAUGAAGAACUUCAUUGUGACAAUUUCCAUUUGGCAUCACUUCUUUUUCAAACAUUUUAAAUUAAAAUUCCAAAUUCCCACCUUUCCCGAAAAGAUCUAUCUUCGAAGUGCUCCAACAUCUUUCUUUUGCUCUAACAACUAAAACAAAGGGCACGCGGUCCCAUUAAUUCAACAUGCUCUUUACAAGGCAACUUAACACACAACAUUUUUUUUACUUCAGAAGCUACAUAAUGAUCACUUUAUAUUUUGCUGCAAAAUCAAUGAAGGCUGCAUGCAGGGGAAACAUUAGUACACACUGAGUUCUAGAUAACUGUCGGUUAUUAAGAUCUGAUGGCCUAGUGUGGAAAAUUAAUAUGCUUAUUUAGCAGUAGUAGCUAAAGUACAUGCAUCAGUGGCUGGGAUCAAUUAGAAUAUAAAUUAGAUGCUUAAACAUUUAAAUGAGAGCUUAAUUUGAGCUUAAUUUUAUGUCUGGCACAUCUGCGUUAUACACCUUUAAAAUGACAAUAGCAAAGAGAACGGAAUCAAACACCUAAACAGGCACUGAUUUAUAGGGUCGGCUGGCCAUAAUCGGGACACAAAACUAGCCGGGCAGUGAACAGAUCUCUUUGGAAGCAAAGACAGUGGAACAUUAACAAGCUGUAAACAGGGCAAGAAAAUAAGAGGGCCAUUUGCUGUCAUUUUUGAAAGUUUUCAAUUCUCUUAUUUAAAUUUUUUUUAAUGUUUAUUUUAUUUAUUUUUGAGACAGAGAGAGACAGAGCAUGAACGGGGGAGGGGCAGAGAGAGAGGGAGACACAGAAUCGGAAGCAGGCUCCAGGCUCUGAGCCAUCAGCCCAGAGCCCGACGCGGGGCUCAAACUCACAGACCGUGAGAUCGUGACCUGAGCCGAAGUCGGACGCUUAACCGACUGAGCCACCCAGGCGCCCCUCAAUUCUCUUAUUUAAAAAACAACAAACACACAGGCACAGUAAUUACAAAACAGAAACAUUCUUUAGUUACCUAGACCCUCUCUUUUGUCUUCUACCUUCAGAUAAUGUGUUUAAAAACAGUGCUGGGUUAACUGGUAGAAAAGAAAGCAAAUGCUCUCCUGAAUCACACUGAAAGAAUAUUAAAUUCCUUCAUCCUGUCAGGGUUAACAUCACAUUCAAGCACAUGACCAUGUGUGUUUGACAUAUUGUAGCUACAACGAUUAAAUCACAUGUUCACACUCUAAUGUUAAAAUCAUAGUUACAUUGAUGCUAAAAACUUUUUUUCAUUGAUAGUUAUAUCUUGACAUUAUUUUGAGACAAACGAAAAGUUCCCAAACCACAUAGAUUCCUUUCCCUCCCCAGCCUCUACCCCCUCCCACAUCCAAUGAACAAGAGAACUAUAGGAACAUAAGCCAUGAACUAAGGUAUCAAUGGCAAACAUGUUGGAUGCCAGUUCCAGGUUCAAGUGCUGCCGUCUCCAGUCCUGGCUUUUCGGGCCUUGAUCAUUGGCUUGGUUGCUCGUUUGCGGUCAGUGGCCAGUCCCAGCCAGCACAUGAGGUCAAUGAACCAAGUGGUUGGGUUGAAAUUUAAGCCAAAUUCACUCGCAGAGUAGUCAAAGGGAAAGGUGUGGUGGUAAUUGUGGAAGCCUUCACCUAGAAGACAAAGUGGGUAUUGAAAUAACCCCUCCCCACCUCUCUGCACAGAUUUAUUUUCCCCCCUCGUCUGCUGAGAGUCUACCAUGUGCAAGGCACUAUGUCAGGCUCUCUGGGCAGCAGAAGACUUGGUGUCUGCCCUUAGGAAGAAUUUACUUAGUUGGCUAGACUAAAUCUGAACAGAUUAAAAAAAAAAAAAAAAGGUUAUCAGCGCAGAGUCACAAGAUUAAUUUCCCUGUAUGAACAACUACCAUGAUUUCGGAGCUGUACUUAGUAAGCUCAAUGCUAAAUGACUGAUAACAGAUCCUCCUUUUGAUGUAUGUUCAUAAAAGGAAAAUAGCCUCUGUGGGCUGGAGUGAUUAAAGGAAGGCUUGUUGGGAGAGCCUGGAUGACCCAGAGGAGCCCUGUUCAGAUAGGUAAGUAAACUGAGGAGCUGGACUUUUACAUGUCCCAAAUCUGCCCAUAUAUUAUUCCACCACCACCCCCCACCUGCCCACCAGCGAAUAGCUUUUCCUCUCUUACUCUUUUUUUUAAAUUAAGGUGUUUUCAGGAGGGAUCUCAGGGAUUCUUUCAUUUGACUUUUUUAAACAGCUUUAUUGAGAUAUAAUUCACCAUAUAAUUCAUCCAUUUGAAGUACAAUUUAAUGCUUUUUAGUAUUUUCACAGAGUUGGGCAUCCAUCACCACGAUGAAUUUUAUAACACUUUCAUUACCUAAAAGGAAGCUCCACACUCCUGAACUGUCAUCCCCCAACCAUCCCCCCCCCAUCCCUCCGGCCCUACUUUCUUUCUCUGUCAUGGUUAAUUUUAUGUGUCAGACUGGCUGGCCGAGGCAUGCCCGGAUUAAACAUCUCUGUGUGGUGUGUCUGUGGGGGUGUUUCUGGAUGAGAUGAGCAUUUGAAUCAGUGAACUCAGUAAAGCAGAUUACCCUCGCCAGUGGGGGUGGGCAUCACUCAAUCCGUUAAGGGCCUGAACAGAACAAAUGGUGGAGGAAGAGGAAUUUGCCCGUUUUUUUCUGACUCACUGACUGAACUGGAUCUAUCUCUUCUUCCCUUGCCCUCAGACUGGGAUUUACAUCAUCUGCUCCCCUGGUUCUUGGGCCUCUGGACUCCAAUUUAAUCAUAUCACCGGCUUUCCUGAGUCUCCAGCUUGCAGACGGCAGAUUGUGGGAUUUCUCAGCUCCCCUAAUCAUGUGAGCCAGCUCCUCAUAAUAAAUCUCUCUCCCCUCCCCUCUUCCCCUCCCCCUCCCCUCCUUCUUUCCCUAUGCAUACACACACACACACACACACACAUACAUAUAUACAUAUGUGUAUAUAUGUAUACAUACAUAUAUAUACACACGAAACAGGAGGCUACCUAUUUAUGUCCUACAAAUAUAUACCUAUUUAUAUUUAUAUAGAUAUUGUACUGUUUCCCUAUAUAUACGGGGAUUUAUGAUGAGGAACAUAUAAUAUAUAUUACAAUAUAUAUAAAAACUGAAUAGUGUAUGUAUAACAUAUACAUACAUAUACAUACAUGUACUGAUUCUGUUUCUCUGGACAACCCUAAUAUAAUCUCUGUAGAUUUGCUUAUUCUGAUCAUUUCAUACAAACAAAAUCAUACAAUAUGUAGCCUUUUGUGACUAGCUGCUUUCACUUAGCAUCAUGCUUUCAAGGUUGUAGCAGAUAUCAGUACUUCAUUUCCUUUUAUUGCCAGAUAGUAUUCCGUUGUAUGGAUGUGCCAUACUGUAUUUAUCCAUCCAUCAAUUGACAGACUAUUGGAUUAUUUCUGCUUUUUGGCUAUUACGAAUAAUAUUGCUAUGGACAGUCAUAUACAAGUUUUUGUGUGGACAUACAUUUUUAUUUCUCUUUGUGUAUGAAUCUGGGAGUGGAGUUGUUGGAUCACAUGAUAACUAUUUUUAACCAUUUGAGGAACUGCCAGAUUUCUCCUUCACUUCUUAAAUAGGCCCUGGUCAUCAUGUAGUUCUUCUAUUGACCACAGCCGAAGGAUCUUGCUCUGUAAUGAAUAUAUCAGGUGGAUGGAACUGUGGUUUGCAGUUUUCUUUUUUUAAUUUUUUAUGUUUAUUCAUUUUUGAGAGAAAGAGAGAGGGAGAGAGAGAAAGAGAGAGACAGAGCAUGAGCAGGGGAGGGGCAGAGAGAGAGGGAGACAGAAUCUGAAGCAGGCUCCAGGCUCUGAGCUGUCAGCACAGUGCCCUACGUGGGGUUUGAACUCACAAACCGUGAGAUCAUGACCUGAACCCAAGUCCAACCGAUUGAGCCACCCAGGCGCCCCUGCAGUCUUCUUUUUAAUUUAGGUCUUCUUUACCCUGCUCCUUUCACCCUCAUAAUUUUUAGUGUUUUUCCUGCACUACAGUGUAGUAUAGAGGAGUCUCCCCUGCUAUUUUCAGAAGCAGACACUGUUCUGAGAACCUGUGCGUACCCGCCAUCUAUCACACAGUUCAGUGUAACGGGAGCCUUUCCAGGACCUUAAUGAAGAAAACUGACUAGGAGCCCCGUGUUGACCUGGGUGGACUUAAAACCAGUACCCAGCUCUUCAAGGCCAGUGCCAUGGUCACAUUCCUUGGGUUUUCUGGUCCACCAUCCCCACAUCAGAUGGUAACAGUCCAUCUUGUCCCCUUGCUGUCUGCUCUCAGGGUCAACACUGGAUAUGGCCCCCCUCACUGCAGUCCAGGAAGAAGUAGAAGCAUCAGAAACUCCUUCCAAGACACUUUUCUCUCUGCUUAGCUGGUUGGUCCCAUAGUUAAAUUUGGGUGCUUAUUCCACCUCAGAUUGCUGUUGUCAACACGGGGUCCGAGCCUAACAAUGUGGUGGGAGAAACUCUUUGCUAGGUGAUGCAGAGACCAUUGCUACUUAGCCACAGGGCCUUCCCUUCCUGGGGCCGAUCUCAAUGCUCAAGGCUCAGCUUACCAAGAAGCUUGAGUUACUUCUAGAAAGAUACAGCUAAUGUCCAUUUAUUACUUACUAUGUUUCAGCCACAGUGCUCAGUGCUUUAAUGGGUAUUAACACCUAUAGUCCUCAGAUCUCUGAGCUAGCUGCUAUGAUUCUCCCCAUUUUAAAAAUGAGGAUGUAAAUGUACAGAAGGGACAAGUAACUUCCUAAGACCUUAAGGCUAGUCACAAACUAAGCACUUAUUUCAUGCUAAGCACUGUUGCAAAGACUAUGUAUUAGCUCAUCUAACCCUUUGGUGACCCCAGGAAGCAGGUGAAUGCUAUGAUUAUCUUCACUUUACAGGAGAAGACACAAGGUGCGGAGGAGCCAGAUAACUCUCUCAGAGAGUAAGUGAAGGAACCAAGACUCAACCAAAGUUGUCAGAAUCCAGCGGCCUCGCUCCGAACCAUUCUGUGGCACCAUGAGAUGCCACACUCUUGUUUCUUCCCAUCUCUCUGAAGGCCUUUUUUCUUACAGUCGGUCAAAUGAUUGGACAGCUGAAUGGUCAGGGCAGUUUGAGAGAAAAGCCAGCUGCUACUCCUCCAUUAGGAAAAAUUUCACGGUAAAAAUAAAUAGCUCCUAAUUAUUGAUCACUUACUAUAUGACAGACAUUUUACUAAGCAGUUUACAUAUAGUAUCUAUCUUACAGCAUAUCUAUAUUGCAUAUAGCAGUUUACAUAUAGUAUCUAUCUUCAUAACAUCCCUAUGAAGUAAGCAUCACUCUUCCCAUUUCACAGAUGAGAAAACUCUAAAUCAGAAUGAUUAGGUGACUUGCCCAAGAACCAGGAUUCUAAUACCGAAGCCCAAGUUCAUCCCACCUGACUCCAUUCCACUGCCUCUCUUUACAGAGUCCAGAAAACCUUUGGAAGGUUAAGAAAAUCUGAGCUGCCAUGCUCCCCAUUGGCUCUCACACCCCUACUCACCAAUGGCACCCAGGGUGACGAGUGGGUUCUGCCGAGGGCUGAUGUGCUUGUCGUAGGGCCGGUUUCCAUACAUGUGGGCAGCACUGUUGACCAGCCAGCUGAUGUUGAGUGAGAUGGUAUAGCGGAGGAUGGAGGCCAAGAAAUAGGAGUUCCACAGACUCUCUUCCCAGGCACACCAGGGUACCAGCGUGGGGAUCACAAAGCACAUGAGCACCACAGUGAUCUUAUAGUACCUGGAAGGCAGGACAUUACACUACCAUCAGGCACCUGUUGAUGGUGGCAGAAAUGAGAUGAACAAGCUACAUACAGGAAAAGCCAGGAAUUGUGCCCAUCAAUUCCUUCAACUCUUUCUGGAUAAGAAGUACCCUGUUGUGUGUUGCUCUGUACAAGGGUCACAAACCCAUAUACCUACAAGGCAACACAAGUAACCCAAAUUUGAGAAUUAGGAUGGGUAGAAUGCUAUGGAAAGUAUGUAGCAUACUUCGGAAGAAUUUCAACAUAAAACAAUCCAUGCUGUGCUGGUGAAAUCCGGGUAUCUCAGAGCUACAUUUCUCCUAUAGGUCACCAGUUCGACAACUCCUAGCUACUUCUUUGACCAGUCAAUCAACUUGGUACUCAGGUUUUCUUUCCUAAAUGAUUUCAAGGAAUAUGUAUUUCUUGAAUAAUUUCCAGGCACAUUAUUUUGUACUAAUGUAGCCUGGUAAAAAGGUAAACAAUCCAAUCCCCUCUCAAAAAUGUUCUCUGUUCACUGGUGAUUACAUUCCAGGUCAGCAUAAAAAAUAAACAAUAGUAUAAGAACAAGCAUGACCACAUAAAAAGUAAUCUUUAAGAAGAAACCAUCAACAGUUUGAUUUCCAGACCUAUGUAUACAGGAAACAUUUACUGAGCACUUACUAUUUGCCACACCAUGAAUACUGAUGAUACAAAGACAAAUUCGACACAGUCCCUAUCCCAGGUUUCAGUCAGGUGGACCCACUGUUCCCCACCCGCUAGCCAUGUGGAACCAGCUCUAUGCAGGCACAGGAAAGGGACUGUGAUACGAGUUCAUAGCUCUUUCCUCCCUGGCCUCACACUGGCUAAUCGAGCUUCCAGAAGGCCAAUGUUAAGGUGCAUAUGUAUGAAAUGGGAGGUGGCAGUGUGAGGGAAUGUCAUUCAGGAGGUAGAAGACUUGAACUUGAGUCUAGAUCUGAUUCUGGAUGUUGUACAAGUCUUUUUUUUCCCUUUCACUCUCCUCUUAUGCACAGUUAGAUGAUUCCACAAAGAGCACAGCAUGAAGGCUUGUAUGUGGAUAGUCUAUUUUGGGAAGAGUGAGACAGGGAAGGAAGGAAUGCCAAGCCAGGGGUGCCCAUGCUUUGGACACCUGAACUUGGACCAUGAUGGGACAGAUUAUACCUCAGAGUUAUUCUCUCAAGGAAAGAAAGAAAGGAUAUUUUCCCAUUGGUUCCAACUCCCUCCUGGUCAAGGGAUGUCACAUGGGAUAUUAGCUCCCUCACCUUUCCACGUUUGCUCAGGUCAGAAUGGCUGAGUGCAUUUCUGGAAGCAUCUCAGGUGGAAGUGGCAAAGCAACCAGACAGGAAAUAAGAAAUAAGCAGUCCAGCUGAGCAAGGUGCUGUUGGUUACACCUGAGCCAGCAAGUGGCUGCAGCAACAGCUGGAAUGAAAAGAUGGGCAGAGAGUAGGAGGUGGGGCACAAGAGGUGUCCAACCCAGGUAGUAAUUAUAAUACCUCUAGGGGUCUUGUGAGGAUCUAAUAACUAAUGUAUACUAUGUGCAUAUUAUGUGUCACAGCUAUUCUGAGACCUUUCCAUGUACUGACUCAUUUAAUUCUAAUAAAAACUCUAGGAGGAAGCGACCAUUAUUAUCACCAUUCUACAUAGCAAUGGAAAGAUUAUGUAGCUGGGCAAGGUCACAAGACUAAGAAGUGGUAGGACCAAGAUUCAGAUCCAGGCAGAAACACUUCAGAGACUAUCAUGCUAUUCUGCUUUUGCAAAUGAAAUCAUGUGUGUAAGUGUGUUUUGCAGAUUGCUAGCUGCAUGUGUCAGUUCCCAUAAAAUUUGCUUCUCUUGGGCAACGUGUUAACCCAUCAGCACCCAUUUUCAAGUCACUGGGAUACAAGAUGGCUGAAUUUUAGCGGAAAGAGGGUACUUAGGAGGUCAGAUGAGUGGGCUAUGGCAACAGGCAAUGAAGGGAUUGGUGGUCUUAGAUUAGGCUCCCUAGAGUCACAUGCAGAAGGAUUUUGGAGACUGGUCGUGAGAGAUACUUGUAAGGAAGGGAGGAAGGCAGGUAGGACUGAGGCAGCUCAUCCACAAUGAGUUUCAGCAGAUCCAACAGGGAGCUCUAAAGGAUGACCCUUUAGAGUUGUCCCAAAUUGAAAGGUAUACCUGCAUCAUCCAGGCUUUGGCCUCAGGGUGCAGGGUGUAGGGCAGUUCCAUGUGGGCAAGGGCAAUUCCCAGAGAGGACAGUGGCUGUGAGGUGGGAGCAUCAGCUGAAGAGGGGAUCUGGGUAAAGCACGCAGAUACUGGGCAAGGCCCUGGGGAACUGGUGGUCAGCAUGUGGAGGGACGGGAGGAGGUGUUUUUAUGUUGUAAAGCAUUGUAGAAUGGUAAACUCCCCAACUUUGCCAUUUCCUACUGUGGUAUCUUGAGUAAAUUAUUUAAUUGCACCGAGCCCCAGGUUUCUCUUCUGUAAAACGUGGUAUUAACAAAUUUACUGAGUUCCCACUAUGUACCAGGUUCUGUCCUGGUACUAGAGAUAUAAAGUGAACAAAUCAGACAAAAUCCCUGCCCUUGGUGAGCAGGGGUAUUCUGGUAGGAAGAUUUGAUAAAUACAUGUAUUAUGUAUAUACCAUAUAAAAAUUUGCACAUAUGUAUAUUCUGGCAGGGGAGAGAGCUAAUAAACAAUAUAAAUAAAUAAUAUAUAAAACAUGUUAGUGUAAAUACUAAGAUAAAAAUAAAGCAGAGAAGGAGAAUAUGAAGCCAAGGGCAAGUGCUGAAAUUUAAAAUAGGGUGUUGAGGGAAGGACUUAGUGACAUUAUGGCUUUUGAGUAAAGAUAUGAAAGAAGUGAGAAGUUAACCAUGUGGCUAAAUGGGGCAGAAAUUUCCAGGCAGAGGAAACCACAAGUACAAAGGCCCUGCAGCAGGGUGUUCCUGGCAUAUUCAGGGACAAGCAAGAGAGUUGGGGCUGAAGCAGGUGAACGAAGGGGAGAAUGUAGAAAAUAAGAGAAAAAUGGUGGGUUGAGUCACAGAAGGUGUGAGAGAUCAUCAAAAGGGUUUCAACCUUUACUCUGAGUGAGAUGGAGCCUUGGGCAGGUUUGGACUGAAGGAGCAGGGUGACCUGACUUAUAGGUUAGCAGGGUCACCCCGAAUGUUGUGUUGAGAAUGGACUGUGGGAGGAGGGGCAGAAGCAGGGAGAGUAAUUAGGAGGCUGCCACAAAAUCCGGGCAGGAGAAGAUGUUGGCUUGGACCAGAAAAGGGGUGGUGGGUGUGAAAAAUAGUCAAAUUCUGGAUAUAUUUUGAAAAUAGAGUGACAGGACUUGUUACCAGACUGAAUGUUGGAGAGAAAGGAGUCAAGGAUGAUAUUAAGGAUGGAGAUGUCAUUAGCCAAUAGGAGGAAGCAUGGAGGGGGUGCUGGUUUCGAGCAGCAUAUGAGAAGCUAGAUCUUACACAUGUCAGGUGGGAAAUGCCCACUACACAUUCAAGGGGCGAGGUCAAGUAGACAGCUUGAUAUUCAGGUCUGGAGAUCAGAGGGUGCUCUAGAGAGAGGUUUGACAGGAACAGAAAUUUGGAAUUCAUUAGCAUAUUAAUGUAUGACACUCACAUACAAACAUUUUUUUCAUCUGAGUUCCACAAUAGCCUUGUGAGAUAUCUAUCUAUCUAUCUAUCUAUCUAUCUAUCUAUCUAUCUAUUAUUUAUUUACUUUUAAAUUUUAUUUAAAUCCAAAUUAGUUAACAUACAGUGUAGUACUGGUUUCAGGAGUAGAACCCAGUGAUUUAUCACUUACCUAUAACACCCAGUGCUCAUCCCAACAAGUGCCCUCCUUAAUGCCCAUCACCCAUUUUAGCCCAUCUCACCACCCAAGGUGGAAGUUCCUCCAUCCCUGUAAGGAACUUAUUUAUUUGUAGGACAUUUCUGGAGCUCCAGAGAGGUCAUGGGACUUCCUCAAGGUCAUACUGGUUGUACAAAGCAUAGGCAUCUUGCUACUUACUUGGCUUACCAAGAACAGGACACAGGGGAUGGGUAAACUUACCCAGAAGUAAACCAGGCCAGAGUGUGGAAUCUGGCCAUUGUCCUAAGAGUUACACAUAUUUGAGUAAAGAUACUACAUUCCAGCUGGACUGAACUUCUUCCCAUUCCUCAGGAACCACCUUUUCUAUGUCCCCUGUGUCUAUGACACUCUUGGCCUGGCUUACUUGAUGUUUCCAAAUAUCAGUCUAAACAUCACUUCCUCUGGGGGGAAUUUCCUCCGUCCACCAGAGCAGGCAGGGUGCCCCUACCCAGUGUUCCUGUUGCAUGUUGUACUUCUCAGCUUCAUACUUGCUGGUGUAGUAAGUGGUUUGAGGUGAGGCCUCAGCCAUGAAUGCACAUUUGAAUCAACCAGGUGAACAUUUAAAAAUGACUGAUGUGGGAACCCACGGCAGACCAGCUCAAUCGAAUCAGAAUUUCUGUUCUGGACAUUGAUAUUUUUAAAGUCUCUCCAUUGCAGACAGACAUUGACGGUAGCCUCCCUAUAAUCCACCCCCAUCCUUUCUUUCUUGUUGGAAUAUCCUGAUUUUGUUCAGAUAUUGAGCUGUUCUCCCUGCAGCCAUGUCUUUCAGGGAAUGUGGACUCUACCCAGGACGUGAGUCCUGAUUGGCUUGGAGCAAUCAGUGGUGAUCUCAUUCACCUUCCCAAUAAUUAAUUUGGGAAUUAGCCAAUAGCGGUCAAUAAGAUAUAGGGGAAAUGGGUAUAAUUUUUUUAAAGGGAAAUAACAAAUGUUGGUAAAGAUGUAGAGAAAUUGGAACCUUUAUGCAUUGCUGGUAGGAAUGCCAAAUGACGCAGCUGCUAUAGAAAACAGUUUCUCAAAAGGUUAAACAUCGAAUUAUCAUACGACCCAGUGAUUCAACUCCUAGGUAUAUGUUCAGAAGAAUGCGAAGCAGGGAUUUCAACAUAUAUCUGUACACUAAUGUUCAUAGAAGCGUUAUCCAGACUAGCCAAAAGGUGGAAACAGGCCAAGUUUCCAUUAAUAGAUGAGUAGAUAAACAAAAUGUUAUAUAUAUGUAUACACAAUGGAAUAUUAUUCCACCAUAAAAAGGAACAAAGUUUUCAUAUAUGCUAUAACAUGCAUGGAUGGAUGGACCUUGGAAACAUGUUUAGGGAAAUAAACUAGACACAGAGGACAGAUACUGUUAUAAUUCCACUUAUAUGAGGUACCUAGAAUAGGCAAAUUCAUGAAGACAGAAAAUAGAGUAGAUGUUCCUAGGAGCUGGAAGGAAGGGGAUGGAGAAAGGGAAGUCCCUGUUUCAUGGGUAUGGAGUUUUUGUGGGGAAUGAUGAAAAAAUUUGGGGUAUAGAUAUCACUGAUGGUUAUACAACAUUGUGAAUGUACUUAAUGCCACAGAAUUGUACACUUAUGGUUAAAACAAUAAAUACUAUGUUGUGUAUAUUUCACCACAAUAAAAAAGAGCGAGAUGAGGGAGUGUUUUCUUAACCACAGAAAGAACACAUGGGCAGAGAUGGACUCUCUUUUUUCACAGUGACACCAGGACCUACUACAGCCAUCUGUGACCGUGAACAAAGACCAGGAAGAAGACUGAAAAACAAAGCAAACCCCUUAGGCUGACAGAGCAGAAAGAUGGAAAGGUUCCUUGAAUGAGCCACGGAACCAAGGAACCCCAGAGUGGUUUUAUCCCCGAUGUUCUUAUUCUGGAACGAGCCAGCUGAGUCGGGACCUUCUGUGGGGUAGCUGAACGCAUUUUAGUAUCUGUAGUGGACACUCAUGCCAUCUGGAUCUCCUUUCAGUUGAGAGUCGCUGGCCGUGCUGCCUCUGCUAGAAAGAGCCGUCCUGCCCUAGGUCACGCCCUCUCCUAACAACCCUAUCCAGUGACUAACCUUACAUAAGGGGAGUAGUCCAUUGCCCAGGCCUGAUCCCACUGCUUCACCUCUCAAUGACUCUAAAUGUCACCCCAACUUCAGAGCCCACAGUAAGGUAGGCCGAGGCCUUUGUUGGGACCAAUCGGGGCCCAGAUUCUUCCUUUGCCCAAUCCCGUAUCCAUCACCUCUUCCACAGGUGUUGACCCCAAAGACUCUCUCCAUUACACUUCUUGUGAUGUAAUAUCCACCUCAGAGCCAGCUUCUGAGGUAACCUGCCCUGCGACAUGGAUACACUGCUGGGCCAGCAGAGUCCAGCAAAAAGGCACGCUCCAGAGCCUAGCACA
rnacentral:lncRNA from 1 species